rnacentral:sRNA from 1 species
CAUGCGAGAUGGACAUUAACGAGUUCUGAAAGGGGUUGUAGCUGGCCUUCCGGGGCAUGUGCACACCCUGCUCAUCCACUCUACACCUGUGCACUUACUGUAGGUUUGGCGUGGGCUUCGGGGCCUCCGGGUCUUUGAGGCAUUCUGCCGGCCUAUGUAUCACUACAAACACAUAAAGUAACAGAAUGUAUUAGCGUCUAACGCAUCUAAAUACAACUUUCAGCAACGGAUCUCUUGGCUCUCGCAUCGAUGAAGAACGCAGCGAAAUGCGAUAAGUAAUGUGAAUUGCAGAAUUCAGUGAAUCAUCGAAUCUUUGAACGCACCUUGCGCUCCUUGGUAUUCCGAGGAGCAUGCCUGUUUGAGUGUCAUGGAAUUCUCAACCCACACGUCCUUGUGAUGCUGUGGGCUUGGACUUGGAGGCUUGCUGGCCCUCGUCGGUCGGCUCCUCUUGACCGCAUUACCUUGAUUCCGUGCGGAUCGGCUCUCAGUGUGAUAAUUGUCUACGCUGUGACCGUGAAGCGUUUGGUGAGCUUCUAACCGUCCUGUAUGGGACAUACCUCUUGACAUCUGACCUCAAAUCAUGUAGGACUACUCUCUGAAGAUAAGCUUAUCCAUAAUGACCAAGGAAGGAACUCCGCUCCUCGUCUGGCUUUGUCCCUUAAUAAAAUAAAAAAUUAAAAACAACAAAAGAAUAGGUUCAGGAACGAUUGUAAUAUCAUUAAAAGGUGGCUGCAAUUUCUAACUUUUAAG